UUGACAUUUGUGCGCCUAUGUCUAUCUCCAGCCAAACAAUAAUCCUGUAAAUCCUCUAAGCUAGAACCUCCUGCAGAUGACAUGUGGAAUUUGCGACUUCUCGAGUCUCAAUCGUAGUUGGAUUAUCUGCUCUCCCUGUCAAAGAAACUCGAUCUAUAUCCACUUCUACUAUGCGAGAACCAUCAAUCAGUGCAUCCUAUUUCUCCCGAUGAAGCAUGAAAUGCUCAUCAAGCACUACAUCUCCCUUAAUCACCACCUUCUUCGUUGUAUGAUCUUAAAACUUGUAUCAUUUUAUACCUUUCUUGAACCCCAAAAAAAUACACUUCUUUGACUUGGGUUCUAAUUUCGGUCUCUUAUCACUUGGAACAAGAACAUAGUCAGGCCGACCGAAAACUUGUAAA